AUAGAGGAGCCGAUUCUUUAUAUUAAGAUGCAGAUUGCCCUGUUUAAGCUUGAGCAAGGGGAUCAAAAAGAGUGCCAGAAACUUUUAGAUGAAGGGAAGACUGCACUUGACAGUAUGACUGACAUUGAUCCAUCUGUUUAUGCGAGCUAUUAUUGGGUUUCAUCUCAGUAUCAUAAAGCUCGCCAGGACUUCGCUGAGUUCUACAAGAGUUCUCUUCUUUAUCUUGCUUACACUUCAGUGGAAUCUCUUUCUGAAUCAUUUAAGCUGGUACUUUGUCAUUUCUUGUUUUGUCGACCUACCCUUCCUACUACACUUGACAGUAUGACUGACAUUGAUCCAUCUGUUUAUGCGAGCUAUUAUUGGGUUUCAUCUCAGUAUCAUAAAGCUCGCCAGGAAUUCGCCGAGUUCUACAAGAGUUCU
rnacentral:lncRNA from 1 species